rnacentral:SRP_RNA from 1 species
GCUGGGUGCAGUGACUUACACCUGUAAUCCCAACACUUUGGGAGGCUGAGGUGGGUGGAUCACCUGAGGUCAGGAGUUCAUGACCAGCCUGACCAACAUGGUGAACCCCCAUCUCUA